CUGCUGAAUAGUUGCUUUAGGAACAGCUCUAGGUGCUCAAAUGAUGCACAUUGCCCUUGGUCCUUGUUGUUUUCCUUAUAACUCAAUAAAUGUCAACUUUUUGCUUGUUCCUGAGCUCUAAUCACAGCUUGUACAAUUAGCUUGGCUAAACUGAUUGCCUUGUGUGCAAGGAGGCGUUAUUUUUACUAAUAUCAUCAUUUAACUAUUGCGUGCGUUGGGUUAAUUUGGUUCAUUGAUUCUUUUUCUUUUUUAAGCAAUCAAGCUUAAAUGAUUAGCUUCAUAGAUUAGGCAAUCCGUUCUGAACAAAGUUUUGCAAAAGGCCAACAUCACAUUGUCAUUCUGUCAUACACUUCAUACAGGAAAGCAUUUCGCUAGAUCAUGUUGCAUUCCUUUUUUUGUUUAAUUUAAGUUGGCGGCAUAGUAGCAGUGCUUUUAGCUGGAGUUUCUGAAAUUGCUAAGGCUUCAUUUUUCACAUGUCCUUUCUUCCACAUUUAUAGCUAUGGAACAAACUGUGUCCUUUCUUCCACGUUUAUAAGAUUGAUUGAUUAGCAAAAAAACAAAGAACACUUCAAUAAAUAUAUUAUAUAUGCGCUUGUCAUGAAUUCCCGUUGUAUAUAAUGCCUAAACAGUACUACUUGCUUAAUUAGGGCGAUGAGGCGGCUAAACUAAAUAGAGUGGGGUUAAGUCCCUAAUUGCCUUGCCUGCAGUUGACUUGCAACAUUUUCCCUGGGAUGUCCAUUUCAAGCCCCACAAGCUCUAGAAGCUUAAAGCCAUCCAUGUCUGGCAUGUGCACAUCGCUGAUACAAGAUCAAACAAGUUCUUGUUUUGACUCAACAUGGUCAAGAUCACAACAGUCUGAUUCAUCGUUGUGACUGCAAAUACGAAACAAUGUGUCUUACAGGUGAGUAGCUAUAGCAAAAGCCAGAACAAGAAUUUGUACAUAUUGCAUGAGAAACUACCUAACUACUUGUAGUAAAAGCUCCCAAAAAAUGCAGCAUUCAGUUACAUGGUGAUAGUGUGAUCAUCAAUUUAGUGCUUAAAUAUUUUGGCCAUUUGAUGCAAACAAAUCUAUGGUUGUGGGCAUAUAAAAGUAUAAUCUGCAAUAAAACUUAGCAAAUGGUUUAUCAAGUAGAAAUAUUUGUUAAUGGUAGUAGAAUCAAACGAGGUACCUGUUUUUUGGCUGAUCUCCAUA
rnacentral:lncRNA from 1 species